CCUCCGCCGCCGCCGCCGCC
rnacentral:miRNA from 1 species